rnacentral:rRNA from 1 species
UACGAAGGGUGCAAACGUUGCUCGGAAUUACUGGGCGUAAAGCGUGCGCAGGCGGCUUCUCAAGUCAGGGGUGAAAGCCCAGAGCUCAACUCUGGAAUUGCCUUUGAGACUGAGUGGCUUGAGUACGAGAGAGGUGAGUGGAAUUCCCAGUGUAGAGGUGAAAUUCGUAGAUAUUCGGAAGAACACCAGUGGCGAAGGCGACUUACUGGACACAUAUUGACGCUGAGGUGCGAAAGCGUGGGGAGCAAACAGG